rnacentral:rRNA from 1 species
GACGAACGCUGGCGGCGUGCUUAACACAUGCAAGUCGAACGAAGAGCGAUGGAAGCUUGCUUCUAUCAAUCUUAGUGGCGAACGGGUGAGUAACGCGUAAUCAACCUGCCCUUCAGAGGGGGACAACAGUUGGAAACGACUGCUAAUACCGCAUACGAUCUAAUCUCGGCAUCGAGGAUAGAUGAAAGGUGGCCUCUACAUGUAAGCUAUCACUGAAGGAGGGGAUUGCGUCUGAUUAGCUAGUUGGAGGGGUAACGGCCCACCCAGGCGAUGAUCAGUAGCCGGUCUGAGAGGAUGGACGGCCACAUUGAGACUGAGACACGGCCCAGACUCCUACGGGAGGCAGCAGUGGGGAAUCUUCCGCAAUGGACGAAAGUCUGACGGAGCAACGCCGCGUGAGUGAUGACGGCCUUCGGGUUGUAAAGCUCUGUUAAUCGGGACGAAAGGCCUUCUUGCGAAUAGUGAGAAGGAUUGACGGUACCGGAAUAGAAAGCCACGGCUAACUACGUG